rnacentral:tRNA from 1 species
CGACGUAGCUCAGCUGGUAGAGCACCUCCAUGGUAAGGAUGAGGCCAACCCCAGCUUGGCCUUCAGAAGCCCGCCACUAAGCGGGUUUUUUCUGCCCAGCCCGUCCUCGGGGCCCUUCGGCCAGCUCCGAGCUGAUUGGACCGCAGCACCGACCGUUUCGGCGAGAUGGUCGCCGCGGGUGGCGAAUGCUCUUGGGCUCUCCCA